GGCCCCAUCGUCUAGCGGCUAGGACACCAGGUUCUCAACCUGGUAACGGGAGUUCGAUUCUCCCUGGGGUCA
rnacentral:tRNA from 5 species